rnacentral:rRNA from 1 species
GAUGAACGCUGGCGGCGUGCCUAAUACAUGCAAGUCGAGCGAACAGACGAGGAGCUUGCUCCUCUGACGUUAGCGGCGGACGGGUGAGUAACACGUGGAUAACCUACCUAUAAGACUGGGAUAACUUCGGGAAACCGGAGCUAAUACCGGAUAAUAUAUUGAACCGCAUGGUUCAAUAGUGAAAGACGGUUUUGCUGUCACUUAUAGAUGGAUCCGCGCCGCAUUAGCUAGUUGGUAAGGUAACGGCUUACCAAGGCAACGAUGCGUAGCCGACCUGAGAGGGUGAUCGGCCACACUGGAACUGAGACACGGUCCAGACUCCUACGGGAGGCAGCAGUAGGGAAUCUUCCGCAUGGGGCGAAAGCCUGACGGAGCAACGCCGCGUGAGUGAUGAAGGUCUUCGGAUCGUAAAACUCUGUUAUUAGGGAAGAACAAAUGUGUAAGUAACUAUGCACGUCUUGACGGUACCUAAUCAGAAAGCCACGGCUAACUACGU